AUUGAACGCUGGCGGCAUGCCUUACACAUGCAAGUCGAACGGCAGCACGGGAGCAAUCCUGGUGGCGAGUGGCGAACGGGUGAGUAAAGUAUCGGAACGUGCCCAGUCGUGGGGGAUAACGUAGCGAAAGUUACGCUAAUACCGCAUACGAUCUAUGGAUGAAAGCGGGGGAUCGCAAGACCUCGCGCGAUUGGAGCGGCCGAUAUCAGAUUAGGUAGUUGGUGGGGUAAAGGCUCACCAAGCCGACGAUCUGUAGCUGGUCUGAGAGGACGACCAGCCACACUGGGACUGGGACACGGCCCAGACUCCUACGGGAGGCAGCAGUGGGGAAGUUUGGACAAUGGGCGAAAGCCUGAUCCAGCCAUGCCGCGUGCAGGAUGAAGGCCUUCGGGUUGUAAACUGCUUUUGUACGGAACGAAAAGGUUUGGGCUAAUAAGCUGAGCUCAUGACGGUACCGUAAGAAUAAGCACCGGCUAACUACGUGCCAGCCGCCGCCGUAA
rnacentral:rRNA from 1 species